rnacentral:rRNA from 1 species
AUCUAGUGGCGCACGGGUGCGUAACGCGUGGGAAUCUGCCCUUGGGUACGGAAUAACUCAGAGAAAUUUGUGCUAAUACCGUAUAAUGUCUUCGGACCAAAGAUUUAUCGCCCAAGGAUGAGCCCGCGUAGGAUUAGCUAGUUGGUGAGGUAAAAGCUCACCAAGGCGACGAUCCUUAGCUGGUCUGAGAGGAUGAUCAGCCACACUGGGACUGAGACACGGCCCAGACUCCUACGGGAGGCAGCAGUGGGGAAUAUUGGACAAUGGGCGAAAGCCUGAUCCAGCAAUGCCGCGUGAGUGAUGAAGGCCUUAGGGUUGUAAAGCUCUUUUACCCGGGAUGAUAAUGACAGUACCGGGAGAAUAAGCUCCGGCUAACUUCGUGCCAGCAGCCGCGGUAAUACGAGGGGAGCUAGCGUUGUUCGGAAUUACUGGGCGUAAAGCGCGCGUAGGCGGUUUUUUAAGUCAGAGGUGAAAGCCCGGGGCUCAACCCCGGAAUAGCCUUUGAAACUGGAAAACUAGAAUCUUGGAGAGGUCAGUGGAAUUCCGAGUGUAGAGGUGAAAUUCGUAGAU